rnacentral:misc_RNA from 1 species
GUACAGCCAAUGGUAGACCUAGAACAGCUGGACGAGCGAAUCAAAAUCCGCGAGGCAAUACAGGAGGGACGUAUACAAGAUGCUAUUUCAUUGGUCAACAGCAUUCAACCAGAGCUACUGGACAAUGACAGAUACCUGUAUUUUAGAUUACAGCAGCAACAGCUAAUUGAGCUAAUAAGAGAGAAAAAUGUAGAGGCAGCACUCGAGUUUGCUCAGACUCAGCUGGCUGAGCGAGGAGAAGAGAACCCUGAGAUUUUGUCAGAGCUUGAGCGUACACUGGCACUGUUGGCAUUUGAAAGUCCAGAAUUAUCUCCCUUUGGGGAGCUUCUGCAUCCUUCACAAAGACAAAAGGUGGCUAGUGAGCUGAAUGCAGCCAUCCAGGAAAAUGAUUCCACUCCAAAGCUUGCCAAUCUCCUGAAGCUGUUACUGUGGUCACAGGAAGAGCUGGACAAAAAGAAAGUCAAGUACCCCAGGAUGACUGACCUAGCCACGGGGUCACUAGAUGAUUCCAAGUAGUGAGGGGGGAGGGGUGUAACUGGAUGAUUCCAAGUAGCGAGGGGUGGAUCAGACAGAAAUCAGGGGGUGGGGGUGUCACUGGGUGAUGAGGAUGUGUGUACACCAAUAUUUAAAUAAACAUUGCAUCACCAUUAGUUAAAUAAUGUGAAUAAUGAAAAUUAAAACGCUGUCAAUACAUGUAAAACAUGUGUCUAUAUUGUUCAUUUCCAUCUUGGUUACUCAUGUUAUUCAUAAUUUUUUAAAAUUGUAAAAAGUUUUUGUAAAUAUGUGCAAUUUUGUUCUUGUACAGUUUGCUACGAUGUCAUAAAAUUGUUUGUUUAACUUUAACUUAUUAAAAAGUAC